AACGCACAUUGCGCCCGCCAGUAUUCUGGCGGGCAUGCCUGUUCGAGCGUCAUUUCAACCCUCAAGCACAGCUUGGUGUUGGGACUCGCGUUAAUUCGCGUUCCUCAAAUUGAUUGGCGGUCACGUCGAGCUUCCAUAGCGUAGUAGUAAAACCCUCGUUACUGGUAAUCGUCGCGGCCACGCCGUUAAACCCCCAACUUCUGAAUGUUGACCUCGGAUCAGGUAGGAAUACCCGCUGAACUUAA
rnacentral:misc_RNA from 1 species